CCUACGGGUGGCAGCAGUGAGGAAUAUUGGUCAAUGGGCGCGAGCCUGAACCAGCCAAGUAGCGUGAAGGAUGACUGCCCUACGGGUUGUAAACUUCUUUUAUAAAGGAAUAAGGUGAGACACGUGUGUCUUUUGGUAGGUACUUUAGAAAUAGGAAUCGGCAAACUCCGGGCCGGCAGCGGCGGUAAUACGGAGGAUCCAGGCGUUAUCCGGAUUUAUGGGGUUGAAAGGGGGCGUAGAUGGGUUGUUAAGUCAGUUGUGAAAUUUUGGGGCUCAACCGUAAAAUUGCAAUUGAUACUGGCAGCCUUGAGUACAGUUGAGGUAGGCGGAAUGCGUGGUGUAGCGGUGAAAUGCUUAGAUAUCACGAAGAACUCCGAUUGCGAAGGCAGCCUACUAAACUGCCACUGACAUUGAUGCUCGAAAGUGUGGGUAUCAAACAGGAUUAGAUACCCUGGUAGUC
rnacentral:rRNA from 1 species